AUUUUAUUGAUAAUUACAUAUUAAACAUUCCUUGUUUACUUCAGCCAGAUGAACAAGGUCAACAUUAACAGUUACAUGUGGCAUAGUGCCACGGUUAUUACUUGAGACUGUCACUAUGACAGUUACUGCUGUUACUACUUGAGACCGUCAUUAUGAGACUGAGUGAAGGGGGACAAAUGUAGAAAUGAAAAAUUAAGACAAAAGAAACUUUUAAAGGAAGAAAAAAGGGGAAGAAAAAGAGG
rnacentral:lncRNA from 10 species